AAUGAACGCUGGCGGCGUGCCUAACACAUGCAAGUCGUGCGCGAAGGGGAGCAAUCCCCAGAGAGCGGCGAACGGGUGAGUAACACGUGGGUAACCUGCCUGGAAGCGGGGGAUAACCUGGGGAAACUCGGGCUAAUACCGCAUACGAUCAUGGGGCUUCGGCUCUGUGCUGAAAGGUGGCCUCUUCUUGAAAGCUACUA
rnacentral:rRNA from 1 species